rnacentral:ncRNA from 1 species
CAUUUAUCAGACCAAAAACCGGCUCGCGUCUUAGGGCGCGUUCGCCUUGGUGACUCUGGAUAACUUUGCGGAUCGCACGGUCUAGCACCGGCGACGGAUCAUUCAAGUGUCUGCCCUAUCAACUUUCGUCGGUACGGUAUUUGCCUACCGAGGUUCUUACGGGUGACGGGGAAUCAGGGUUCGAUUCCGGAGAGGGAGCCUGAGAAACGGCUACCACAUCCAAGGAAGGCAGCAGGCGCGCAAAUUACCCAUUCCCGACGCGGGGAGGUAGUGACGAAAAAUAACAAUGCAGGACUCGUUCGAGGCCCUGUAAUUGGAAUGAGUACACUUUAAAAGCUUUAACGAGUAUCCAUUGGAGGGCAAGUCUGGUGCCAGCAGCCGCGGUAAUUCCAGCUCCAAAAGUAUAUAUUUAAGUUGUUGCGGUUAAAAAGCUCGUAGUUGGAUUUUGGGCGCAGGCGGCCGGUCCGUCGCAAGGCGCGUACUGGACGUCCUGGCCUUCCCUCCGGUUCUCCGCCGGUGCUCUUGACUGAGUGUCGGCGGCGGCCGGAACGUUUACUUUGAAAAAAUUAGAGUGUUCAAAGCAGGCUCUCGAGCCUGGAUAACUGGUGCAUGGAAUAAUGGAAUAGGACCUCGGUUCUAUUUUGUAUGGUUUUCGGAGCG